UCCGACAAACGUUGGACUACUGCAAUUAAAUUGCGGUCGCCCAAGAACCCUCCUUUCUCCCUAAUUUUCUCUAUCUCAUCUAUUCUGGGAGCUUUCGGGUGUGAUAUCCACUAGAAUCAGCCCCGCCGGCUGCACCCUCUCGUUGCCACUACCGCUAAUAAGCCUUUCUCCUUUCCUUCCUUUUCUUUUGGCCUUGCAUGUUGUCAUCAUAGUGGCAGGGGGCAGCACCUCUUGAUUUUCUCUCGGACCCCUGCGCAUGCCCGAACCCCGCCUCUAACCAGCAUCGUGCCACCACCGCCGUCGACCCUAUCCCCUCCUCCCCUCCCUCUUUGCGAAACCCCUGUUCGGCUUGAGAAGAGAGGAAGA
rnacentral:lncRNA from 1 species